rnacentral:rRNA from 1 species
UACGAAGGGGGCUAGCGUUGCUCGGAAUCACUGGGCGUAAAGCGCACGUAGGCGGGUUCUUAAGUCAGGGGUGAAAUCCUGGAGCUCAACUCCAGAACUGCCUCCGAUACUGGGAGCCUUCGAGUCCGGGAGAGGUGAGUGGAACUGCGAGUGUAGAGGUGAAAUUCGUAGAUAUUCGCAAGAACACCAGUGGCGAAGGCGGCUCACUGGCCCGGUACUGACGCUGAGGUGCGAAAGCGUGGGGAGCAAACAGG